rnacentral:rRNA from 1 species
UUCGCCCUUAGAGUUUGAUCCUGGCUCAGGACGAACGCUGGCGGCAUGCCUAACACAUGCAAGUCGAACGGAGAGCAUUCGCUGAAGUUUUCGGACGGACGUGAAUGUUUCUUAGUGGCGGACGGGCGAGUAACGCGUGAGCAACCUGCCCCUCAGUGGGGAACAACAGUUGGAAACGACUGCUAAUACCGCAUAACGUAUAGUUGCCGCAUGGCGACGAUACCAAAGGAUUUAUUCGCUGAGGGAUGGGCUCGCGUCCGAUCAGAUAGUUGGUGAGGUAACGGCCCACCAAGUCGACGAUCGGUAGCCGAACUGAGAGGUUGAUCGGCCGCAUUGGACUGAGACACGGCCCAGACUCCUACGGGAGGCAGCAGUGGGGGAUAUUGCACAAUGGGGGAAACCCUGAUGCAGCAAUGCCGCGUGAGGGAAGACGGUCUUCGGAUUGUAAACCUAAGUAGUCAGGGAUGAAGAAAGUGACAUUACCUGAAGAGUAAGCUCCGGCUAACUACGUGCCAGCAGCCGCGGUAAUACGUAGGGAGCGAGCGUUGUCCGGAUUUACUGGGUGUAAAGGGUGCGUAGGCGGGCUUGCAAGUCAGGCGUGAAAUACCGGGGCUUAACUCCGGGGCUGCGCUUGAAACUGUAAGUCUUGAGUGAAGUAGAGGCAGGCGGAAUUCCCAGUGUAGCGGUGAAAUGCGUAGAUAUUGGGAGGAACACCAGUGGCGAAGGCGGCCUGCUGGGCUUUAACUGACGCUGAGGCACGAAAGUAUGGGGAGCAAACAGGAUUAGAUACCCUGGUAGUCCAUACUGUAAACGAUGAUUGCUAGGUGUGGGGGGGUAUGACCCCCUCCUAUCUAGCAGUAAACACAAUAAGGCAAUCCGGUGUGGGGGAGGACGUCGGCAAGGGUUGAAAGUCAAAGGAAUUGACGGGGGCCCGCACAAGCAGUGGAGGUAUGUGGUUUAAUUCGUCGCAACGCGAAGAACCUUUUCAGGUCUUUACAUCCAUCUAACGAAGUAGAGAUACAUUAGGUAACAUUCGGGGAAAGUUGAGACAGGCGGUGCAUGGUUGUCGUCAGCUCGUGUCGUGAGAUGUUGGGUUAAGUCCCGCAACGAGCGCAACCCUUGUUUUUAGUUGUUACGCAAGAGCACUCUAAAGAGACUGCCGUUGACAAAACGGAGGAAGGUGGGGACGACGUCAAAUCAUCAUGCCCCUUAUGACCUGGGCUACACACGUACUACAAUGGCCGUUAACAGAGGGACGCAAUCCCGCGAGGAGGAGCCAAACCCUAAAAACGGUCUCAGUUCGGAUCGCAGGCUGCAACCCGCCUGCGUGAAGUUGGAAUUGCUAGUAAUCGCGGAUCAGCAUGCCGCGGUGAAUACGUUCCCGGGCCUUGUACACACCGCCGGUCA